ensembl:lncRNA novel transcript
GUUUUGCCAUGUUGGCCAGGCUAGUUUUGAACUCCUGACCUCAAGUGAUCUGCCUCAGCCUCCCAAAGUGCUGAGAUUACAGGCAUGAGCCACUGUGCCUGGCCUAUGAUUGUUGAUAAAUACAUUCUCAAGAUUCUCUCAGACUUUCUGAAUCAAAAUCUCCAGCCAUGUCUCUGUGACUGGCCCCCAGUAAAAACCCUGGACACCAAGGCAUGGAAACAGUAAUUCGUUUGAUCUGGACUGUGUGGCCCGAACCCUGUAUGUAAUAUACUGUCCCACUGACUUCCCUCAUGGUUACAACGUGGCUGCCAGCAACAUUAGGGGCAACAUACUCCCUUGCGUACCAUAUUAUCUUUCUGAAACCAAAAACAUGGUAAGUUCUUUUUUUUUUUUUUGAAACGGAGUCUCACUCUGUCACCCAGGCUGGAGUGAGUGUGAUCUUGGCUCACGGCAACCUUUGCCUCCUGGGUUCAAGCAAUUCUCCUGCCCUAGCCUCCCGAGUAGCAGAGACUACAGGCACCCACCGGGUGUGUGCCACCAUGCCGGGCUAAAUUUGUUAUAUUUUUAGUAGAAAUACAAAA